rnacentral:rRNA from 1 species
CCUACGGGAGGCAGCAGUGGGGAAUAUUGGACAAUGGGCGAAAGCCUGAUCCAGCCAUGCCGCGUGUGUGAAGAAGGUCUUCGGAUUGUAAAGCACUUUAAGUUGGGAGGCGUUACCGACAGAAUAAGCACCGGCUAACUCUGUGCCAGCAGCCGCGGUAAUACAGAGGGUGCAAGCGUUAUCCGGAUUUACUGGGUUUAAAGGGUGUGUAGGCGGGCUAUUAAGUCUGUGGUGAAAUCUCCGAGCUCAACUCGGAAACUGCCUUGGAUACUAUUAGCCUUGAAUUAUGUUGAGGUUGGCGGAAUAUAACAUGUAGCGGUGAAAUGCAUAGAUAUGUUAUAGAACACCGAUUGCGAAGGCAGCUAACUAGAUAUAUUGACGCUGAGGCACGAAAGCGUGGGGAUCAAACAGGAUUAGAUACCCUUGUAGUC